GGAAGUAAAAGUCGUAACAGGGUUUCCGUAGGUGAACCUGCGGAAGGAUCAUUAUUGUAUAACCGAGGUGCGAGGGCUGUCGCUGACCCGAAAGGUCGUGCACGCCCGAGUGCCCUCACACACAUCCAUCUCACCCCUAUGUGCACCACCGCGUGGGUCCCCCUUUGGCUUGUUCGGAGGGGGGCUUACGUUUUCACACAAACUUUGUAUGCAGUGUAGAAUGUAUUUUUUGUUUUUGCGAUCACGCAAUCAAUACAACUUUCAACUACGGAUCUCUUGGCUCUC
rnacentral:misc_RNA from 1 species